rnacentral:rRNA from 1 species
GGAAUAUUGGACAAUGGGCGAAAGCCUGAUCCAGCAAUGCCGCGUGUGUGAAGAAGGCCUUCGGGUUGUAAAGCACUUUCAGUAGGGAAGAAAAGCUUGGUGCCAAUACCACCGAGUCUUGACGUCACCUACAGAAGAAGCACCGGCUAACUCUGUACCAGCAGCCGCGGUAAUACGUAGGGGGCGAGCGUUGUCCGGAAUUAUUGGGCGUAAAGAGCUCGUAGGCGGCUUAGUAAGUCGGCGGUGAAAUACCGAGGCUCAACCUCGGCACUGCCGUCGAUACUGCUAUGGCUAGAGUUUGGUAGAGGAGAACGGAAUUCCCGGUGUAGCGGUGGAAUGCGCAGAUAUCGGGAGGAACACCCGUAGCGAAGGCGGUUCUCUGGGCCAAUACUGACGCUGAGGAGCGAAAGCGUGGGGAGCAA